UACGUAGGUGGCAAGCGUUAUCCGGAUUUACUGGGUGUAAAGGGAGCGUAGGCGGCGGGGCAAGCCUGAUGUGAAAGCCCGGGGCUCAACCCCGGGACUGCAUUGGGAACUGCCCUGCUGGAGUGCCGGAGGGGCAGGCGGAAUUCCUAGUGUAGCGGUGAAAUGCGUAGAUAUUAGGAGGAACACCAGUGGCGAAGGCGGCCUGCUGGACGGUGACUGACGCUGAGGCUCGAAAGCGUGGGGAGCAAACAGG
rnacentral:rRNA from 1 species